ensembl:lncRNA
CCAGGAAGAUCAUGCUAAUAUCAUUUGGACAUACAUAACAUCUGCUGCAUUUGGCUCGUAGCAUUUAGAGGGACAUGGCAUUUGCCAGCCUCAGUAGGUAUAGUUGCAGAUCACUUGGAGUUAAGCGUUGCAGUGAUCUGAAAAUUGUCAUAUCAUUUCUCCUACUUGUGUAGUGCAAAGUACAACCACAGCAUGAAGCACUCGUGUCAGGUGCGUGCCAUAAAGUGCAGUUGGCACAACUGAAAACCCUCAUAUUAAAGAGGUGGUGUAGCCUGAGAUUUAGAAGGAUGGCAUUGCCUCAGCUAACCUCAUGAAGUGAUGCAAACUAUUGAAAAGUACAAUUUGAGCCUCUCCAGUAAGAAAAAAAAAAAUCUAGUCUGCGUCUACUAGCGAGGGGAGGAAUCAGGACCUCCUCUAUGUUUUCUGCUCCACUCUCUAGACUCCCCUGGAGUAGACAAACUGCCAGGUUACCCCUCUCUCUUCUGUAUCUUUUGUGGGAUGUGUACCUUUCUGACAAAGCUAAUUUCACAGAAGACCUGUAAACUCCAGGGCAGAUAGCUGCACCUGGACCAGCUGACCCCUCAAAGUGGUGUUGCUCUGUUUUUUGGGUGUGUAAUUUGGCUUAUGUAUUAGAUAAAGCCUUUACAGUUCAGAGCUGGGAGCAGCAGUAAGAAGCACUAAAGAGCUUUAUUUUAUUUUUCUAAACUAAUUUAAAAUUUGCAGGUUUUUCUGUUUUGGAAGAUCUCACAAGUUGCAAGGCUAUUCCCUUCACAGACUUCCCUCUUCUUUGCUGCUCCAAGAGCUGUGUGGAAGCAAAGGGGCGGCUGGCCCCGUAGCUAGCACAUGUCGUCGCGACUGCAGCCGUCAGCCUGUGGUAGCCCCGCUCCAAAGAUUCGCACUCCUCCUGCUGAAGGUUCACCAGGGAAUAGCUCUGGAGAAGGAGAAUAUUUUUGGUAGAGGGCCUGAAGUACCUUGGCUUGCCUCGUUUGAAGAGGGCAGAGCCACUUCCUUUUCCUAAUGUUACUUGGGAAGAGAUGCCCUAUUCUUUUGGGUUUGGUGGAAAAAUAAGGCACUCAAGAAUUACAGACUUUUAUUGAUGUGGCACUUACUGAGGUGGUGAGCUGCCGACACGGCCAGAAGGCCACCUCUAACCAUUUUUUAACCAGGGAACCUCUAGUUACUCUUUCAUUAGCACCUCUUUCAUCCACCUGAAAUGGAAAAUUGUGUGGUUUUGACCUUCACAAAGAAUCUAGCCCUUUUAUAUACACCUUUAUUGAGUGUCUGAAACUAUUUUAGGGAGCUGUGCGUUAUUAAAAGACAAAUGCUUUAAUUUUUGAGCACAGGAAUUAGCAGAGUCAGAGCAAUCCAUGAAAUUGGAAGGCACAAUCUCUUCCCAGUGGAGCCAUAUUUGGUAGGAUAAGAAGACUCAUUUUGACAUCACAGUCCAAAUUCAGAGGGAAAAUAGCAACUACUCAAGGCAACAAAUAUCUCCCAAGGAAAUGGGACCAAGAAAAUGGCUUCAGCAAGGGUAAGAAAAACAGUAGGAAAGUCAGUUUCAUACCAUCCCACUGAUCGUUUUUUUCUGCUGUAAAUCCAGAAUUCUACCUUCUCUGAGCAAAACAGAAUCAAAAAUCUCUGGGAAGAGGUUGUGCUCAUUCAAGUUUAGUCUGAAUUUUGCUCUAUUUUUCUGAUUUUUCCUGCAGUUCAUGUGAAUUACAACUACAGUUUUACAACCAAUUUAAAAUAGUUUAUUGAAAGAGUAAACAUUGCAUCACUUACUAAACUGCCAGAAAUGUCUGUAUGUUCCUAAAUGAACCCAUGUCUACAUCUCUAAUUUUCACACUUGUAAUUUUAACAAAAAACAUUUUACUAGGCAGCAGAUUUAUUUUCUUUUUGUUAUUAUAUGAAGCCGUUCCGUUGUUUGGGAAGUGGCAGUAGUCAGUCAGCAGCAAAUUGUGCUUGUAUGCAAAUGCUUGGUAAUAUCUGAAAGCACAGUUCUGAUUAUUUAUGAGCUAAUUGUCCAAAACAUGUUGCAGUUGAUCCUCAUAAAUACUAGGCAUUAAGAAAACAAGAAACAGCAUAAAUAAAGUUCCGGUCUUUCAGCA